rnacentral:tRNA from 1 species
GGGGCUGUGGCUUGGUGGUAGAGCAUGUGCUCAGCAUGUGCGAGGGCCUGGGCUGGAUUCCCAGCAACCCGA